UACGUAGGAUGCAAGCGUUGUCCGGAAUUAUUGGGCGUAAAGCGUUCGUAGGUGGUUAUCUAAGUCUGGUGUUAAAGACGGGAGCUCAACUCCCGCAUGGCAUCGGAAACUGGAUGGCUAGAGUGUGAAAGAGGUAACUGGAAUUCCUGGUGUAGCGGUGAAAUGCGCAGAUAUCAGGAGGAACACCUGUGGCGAAAGCGAGUUACUGGUUCAUUACUGACACUGAGGAACGAAAGCUAGGGUAGCAAAAGGG
rnacentral:rRNA from 1 species